CGGCACGGGUGAGUAACACGUAUCCAACCUGCCGUCUACUCUUGGACAGCCUUCUGAAAGGAAGAUUAAUACAAGAUGGCAUCAUGAGUCCGCAUGUUCACAUGCUUAAAGGUAUUCCGGUAGACGAUGGGGAUGCGUUCCAUUAGAUAGUAGGCGGGGUAACGGCCCACCUAGUCUUCGAUGGAUAGGGGUUCUGAGAGGAAGGUCCCCCACAUUGGAACUGAGACACGGUCCAA
rnacentral:rRNA from 1 species